UUCUGGAUUAGGAGAAAGAGGUCCUCCAGCCGUUCUCCUAGACUUGAAACAUCAGACAAUAUGGAGCAGUUAAACCCUGGUCCUGUGAAUGAAAACAUCUCAGCCCAACCAACACAGCAGGAUGAUCUUCACUGUAGCAGAGUCGACUUUUCUAAGACCCAGACACAUCCUCUCUACCCCAACGUUCAGCCACACAAACACUUUGACAAAGCAGAUCGAGUGUAUCUGAAGACUUUUUCACAUUUGCUAGAAAGAAGACCACACUUGUAAUAUAGAGAACAAUUAUUGUGAUACAUAUGUGUUUUGGCUUGUGUCCCUCAUCAGUGGAACACACAGAGAAGAUUUAAAUGAGAUGAAGUAUGAUGUAUAUAUUUGGACCACAUUUUCACAUGCUGUCUUGCUUUGUGCCGAUUUUUAGAUUUGUUGUGGAUU